CCAGUCUGUGUCCAUGGCCUCUUGUACUGGCACUGGGUACCACUGGAAAACUGGAGCACACCUUGCUUUUUAAGUGCUGCGUUCAUUCUGACCUGCCUAUGUACAUAUUCUAUGAUAAGCAUAAUUUCACCUGGAAUUAAGUGUUCAACUUAAGACAUCUGUUUGAUUCUAUUUAUGUGUUUCAUGAAUAUCUGUAACAGAGAAAGUCUUACAGAUUCAUGUCAAAGGCAGUUCUUGUGCUGAAAACCAGGAGCCAGUUUGAAGUACUGGACUGCCAGUGAAAUAUGCCAGGUGACCUCUUAUUUCUUUCCAUGCAGAUUUUCCCGUUCUCUAUUAAUAAUUCCUCAUUUCCUUAAUACUUCAAUUAUUUUUGAUUAAGAAAAAAUGCUCCUCUCAUUUCCACAAGAAGUCCAGUUCUUCUUUCAUCUCAUAGAAUACUACUAUUUUACUUAUAAAUUUUGCUGCUGUCUAAGUACUGUUGUCUGAUUUAUUUUUUUCUCCAGAGUCCCACCUGCUUCUUCUGUGAUGUUCCUUCCUAAUCCAGCACUGCAAUUCAUUUUGCAUUGCCUGUUGAGUUGCUAUGGAAUUCCUGUGAUGUUUUCGCUGACUGACCGAACAGCAUCCAUCAGAAGAAUGGAACAAGGAUACGUUUUUACAGAUCCCAGAAGCUUGAAAGCACAAAAGAAACAGCUUGUGGAAAAUCUGUGAAGUCCAUCUAUUUCUACAAUAGGAUUAUUCAUCACCACAUGUUUUUCCCAUCUGGAAGUAAAUGGACAAAAUGCUGAAACCACCACCGUCUCACUUGCAAAUUGCUCCACAGUCUAACCAGUCAUGCUAUUGAGAAGAUAUGCCUGCAGUUCAACCUAAAUUGUCUGUAAUCAUGUUGCUUCCUUUCCCUUGUUAUCCUGAGUAGUUCCUCCCCACCCAUGUGUUUAACCUCUCUGAAAUAUUUGUGGAUGGCAAUCAGAUCCCUCUGAGUCACUGCUUAGCUAAGCUGUAUGCAUUUUCAGCAUCGUUCUUUUCUUGUGUAAAUCUUCUCAGAUAUUUAACCAUUUUUUUCCACUUUCCUGUGAAAUCUUCAGCAUUCACUGAAGAUGUUAGAAUAAUUGCCCCUGGAUGAACAUGGGGAAGGACCAUGAGCCUUACACAGAUGGUCCCUUUAAGUGGCCUGUGUACAAGUGCAGUGGGUUGAGAGACUCAGACACUCCCUUACCACACCUAGAACUCCUGCUCCAUGAAUCACGGAGAGGUAUCAGGGCUAUACAGUCUGGGGAGUACUGGACCUGUACAGAUGGAUGAAAAUCCCAGGUUUGCUCCACUUGGACUGUGGCCACAGUGGAAAAUUUUCUGGUCAAUUAUUUUGCUGUCCCAAAGGUAAAGCUCCUAGGAAAAAUGCCCCUUGAACUCCUGACAACUGCAGCUAGCUGUGAUCCUUCAUCUGCCCCUGGGCUGCAAGCCCAUCAGGGUAGGCUUCUAGAGACUCAAUCAAAAAGGAUUCCUUCUGGGGGUUGAUCUUGAUCAUGUGCUGAGACGAUGAAAGGGAAGGGUGAGUAGCUCACUGAGGAGGGGGAGAAGAUAAACUUCCCCUCCAGUGCCAUGCAGUAAGUCGUGUGAGCCUUGCCAUUCUCAAACCUUUAGCUUAAUCACUGUACUUGAUUGCAGCAAAUUCUACUGAAUCAUUGUGUUAAAUUGGCUGAUGAUUAAGUGCUGAUUAAGUGCUACUGAGAAUCAUACAACCUAAUCUUGUGAUUUAUAGUAAAAGCAAUAAAACCUAAAUUUUUACCA
ensembl:lncRNA